rnacentral:rRNA from 1 species
CCUACGGGGGGCAGCAGUGGGGAAUAUUGGACAAUGGGGGCAACCCUGAUCCAGCCAUGCCGCGUGUGUGAAGAAGGCCCUCGGGUUGUAAAGCACUUUCAGUGAGGAAGAACGCCUGGUGGUUAAUACCCAUCAGGAAAGACAUCACUCACAGAAGAAGCACCGGCUAACUCCGUGCCAGCAGCCGCGGUAAUACGGAGGGUGCGAGCGUUAAUCGGAAUUACUGGGCGUAAAGCGCGCGUAGGUGGCUUGAUAAGCCGGUUGUGAAAGCCCCGGGCUCAACCUGGGAACGGCAUCCGGAACUGUCAAGCUAGAGUGCAGGAGAGGAAGGUAGAAUUCCCGGUGUAGCGGUGAAAUGCGUAGAGAUCGGGAGGAAUACCAGUGGCGAAGGCGGCCUUCUGGACUGACACUGACACUGAGGUGCGAAAGCGUGGAUAGCAAACAGGAUUAGAUACCCGAGUAGUC